rnacentral:rRNA from 1 species
UACGGAGGGUGCGAGCGUUGUCCGGAAUCACUGGGCGUAAAGGGCGCGUAGGCGGCCUGGUAAGUAGGGGGUGAAAUCCUGCGGCUUAACCGCAGGGCUGCCUUCUAAACUGUCAGGCUUGAGCACGGUAGAGGCAGAUGGAAUUCCCGGUGUAGCGGUGGAAUGCGUAGAGAUCGGGAAGAACAUCAGUGGCGAAGGCGGUCUGCUGGGCCGUUGCUGACGCUGAGGCGCGAAAGCGUGGGGAGCAAACAGG